CAGCUGCAAUGAAACAAUGGGAGAGGGGCAUCAAGAACAUACGCAAGAAUGUGGCUGAAAUGAUGGAAUGCGGAAUCUAAGCUGCAUGGAUAAGGAAGAUUAUCGGGGAACCUGCCCCGUUAGUCACGGAUGUUCCUUGCUGAGAAAAAGAAUUCAGCGAUAUUUCUCCCAUUUGCUUUUGAAAGAAGAGAAAUAUGGCUCUGUUCCGCCUGGCUCACCGGAGGUCAGAGUUUAAGGUUAUCUCUCUUGUUUCCUAAACAUUGCUGUUAUCCUGUUCUUUUUUCAAGGUGCCCAGAUUUCAUAUUGUUUAAACACACAUGCUCUACAAUUUGUGCAGUUAACGCAAUUAUCACAGGGUCCUGAGGCGACAUACAUCCUCCUCGGCUUACGAGAUGACAGGAUUAAGAGAUUAAAGACAGGCAUAGGAAAUCACAAGGGUAUUGACUGGGGAAGUGAUAAGUGUCCAUGAAAUCUUCACAAUUUAUGUUUAGAGAUUGCAGUAAAGACAGGCAUAAGAAAUUAUAAAAGUAUUAAUUUGGGGAACUAAUAAAUGUCCAUGAAAUCUUCAAAAUCCACGUUCUUCUGUCAUGGCUUCAGCCGGUCCCUCCGUUUGGGGUCCCUGACUUCCCGCAACAGAAGAUUAUAUGGUUUGGAUCUGUGUCCCCACCCAAAUCUCAUGGUCAGUUGUAAUCUGCAAUGUUGGAGGUGGGGACUGGUGGGAGGUGACUGGAUCAUGGAGGUGGGUUUCUGAUGAAUGUGUAGCACCACGCUCUUGCCGUGAGUUAUGAGAUGUGGUCAUUUUAAAAAGUGUGUAGCACCUCCCCCUUUGCCCUCUUGCUCCUGCUCCCACCAUGUGAGAUGCUUGCUCCCCCUUCACCUUCUGCCAUGAUGGUAAGCUUCCUGAGGCCUCCCCAGAAGCAGAUGCCAGCAUUAUGCUUCCUGUACAGCCUGCAGAACCACAGCCAAUUAAAGCUCUUUUCUUAUAAAUUA